rnacentral:rRNA from 1 species
GACGAACGCUGGCGGCGUGCUUAACACAUGCAAGUCGAACGGAAAGGCGCUGCUUUUGUUGGUUUCUCGAUUGGCGAGCGCGGGAGUAUCACAUGAGUAACCUGCCCUUGACUUUCUGGUAACUUCAGGGAACUGGGGCUAAUACAGGAUAUGAUCUCUUGCUGCGUGUGGUUGGUUGGUAAGUUUCGGCUGUUGUGGCUGGACUCGCGGCUUAUCAGCUUGUUGGUGUGGUAGUUGCUUACCAAGGCUUUGACGGGUAGCCGGCCUGAGAGGGUGACCGGAGACAAUGGGCCUGAGAGACGGACCAGAAUCCUACGGGACGCAGUAGUGGGGAAUCUUGCAGAACGGGCGGAAGUCUGAUACAGAAACGCCGCGUGCGUGAUGACGGCCUUUGGGUGGAAAACCGAUUUGGCAUGUGACGAAGAGUGCGUGACGGUAAUGGGUAAAGAAGCAACGGCUAACUACGUG